UGGGUCAGUCAUAAACUUUUAUCUGCUC
rnacentral:piRNA from 1 species